rnacentral:lncRNA from 1 species
AUGCACCGUUCACCAUGUUGCAGACUGUGCCACUGGAUUGGCUGCAAUUUGUCCCAAGUUACUGGCCGGAUCUGGGACGGCAAUGACCUUGACGAGGACCCACAGAAAGGCCCGAGUCCUCCCCUCUUUACCUCCCACCCAGAAAGCUCCGCGUUAAAAUUCUACAAAAUACGCUCAGUCAGUCAGUCAACAACCUUUCCCCGGAGGCGAAGACGGGGAGGGAACCCCAGGACUUGCUUUGUGUUUGUUUGUCGGGCACCCGGUCUGGAUGGAGCCUUUUCGACACGCUUUCACUUUCUCCCUCCACAAACCGGCUUGAGAUCCGAGUUUCCGCUCAGCCCGCACACUCGGCCGCCACUGGGUGGCAGCAGGUCCCCGCGGCUCCUGGAAACGGGGACAGAAAGGAAGAAAAAGGCGAAAAGUGGCACAGGAACUCGAGAAGAUGCUCCAAGUUCGUGUCGAUGGCCGGACGCUCAUGUCGUGACGAUGAGGAUGAGGAUGAAAAUCUUUGCACCUCCAACACCAAUCCCGUCGAUUAAUCCUAUUUCUCCUCUUUCUGCUCCCUGUGAGCAAAACCCAUAAUUUUCCUCCGUCUCCGUCCUCUGGGUCUGUCAACGCCCCGUCGUAGGGUCCACGCGUCCUUCAUUUGACACCAAAAGCAUCCACAGGGCACUUCCCGUGGAUCCAUUUUAGGUAAAAAAAAAAAAAACCCCAAAACACCCCUCGUUUGCCCCUCUUAGAAAAACCCCUUUUUCUAAACAACCUCAUGCAAACAAGGAGGAAAGAAAGAAGACGGACUGAAGGCCAAAAAAAAAAGAAAAGAAAAGAAAAAAAAAAUCNNNNNNNNNNNNNNNNNNNNGGCCGGAAUUGGGUUUUUCGGAGCUGGACCAAAAAACACGCACGCCCGGGCGUCUUUGUCGCCUAUUUCGGGAGGGGCCUCCACCCUGGUCCUGGGACCUGGACCUCCGCACCCCUCAGUUGGGGUUUUAUGACCAGGCGGCCGAUGGCUG